GGAAAGAUGGGAGCUUGCUCCCUGAUGUUAGCGGCGGACGGGUGAGUAACACGUGGGUAACCUGCCUGUAAGACUGGGAUAACUCCGGGAAACCGGGGCUAAUACCGGAUGCUUGUUUGAACCGCAUGGUUCAAACAUAAAAGGUGGCUUCGGCUACCACUUACAGAUGGACCCGCGGCGCAUUAGCUAGUUGGUGAGGUAACGGCUCACCAAGGCAACGAUGCGUAGCCGACCUGAGAGGGUGAUCGGCCACACUGGGACUGAGACACGGCCCAGACUCCUACGGGAGGCAGCAGUGGGA
rnacentral:misc_RNA from 1 species